UACGGGGGGAGCAAACGUUGUUCGGAAUCACUGGGCGUAAAGGGCGUGUAGGCGGCUGGAUAAGUGGGAUGUUAAAUCCCCCGGCUCAACCGGGGACCUGCAUCUCAUACUGUUCAGCUCGAGCACAUCAGAGGAGACUGGAAUUCCCGGUGUAGCGGUGAAAUGCGUAGAUAUCGAGAGGAACACCUGCGGCGAAGGCGGGUUGCUGGGCUGACACUGACGCUGAACUGCGAAAGCUAGGGGAGCGAACGGG
rnacentral:rRNA from 1 species